rnacentral:lncRNA from 1 species
GAGCACCCAACAAGGCAAUAGCAUCAGCGGUGGCGCCAUUGCCAUUAAGCUUAGGAAUGAACAUUCCUUUGAGUACUUCUUUAGCAGGAGGUUUCACAUAACUCAUUUCCCCAAAGAAACACGCCGCCAUUACAAACACUAGCACUGCUAUUAGCAGUUCUAGCUUUCUCACCUGUACAUAACUCAUUUCCCCGAAGAAGCACGCUGCCAUUACGAACACUAACACUGCUAUUAGCAAUUCUAGCUUUCUCACCUGCACGGACGAGAACAAGUUUUACACAUGCGAGUGUUAAAUGACUGACUUCGAAUGGUCAAAAUGAGUUGAGUUAAUAAAUGGACCGGACGUAAACUUAGGUUGAUGAGCUGAUUUUGCCAUCCCUAAGAUUGAGAUAGGAUGGUUUGGUCAUCAAUCAGCUACUUUAAUUUCAUUUUCAACUUUAUUGACGUGAUAGAAUGUUUCGAAGAUACGAA